CGGGGGCCUCCCACUUAUUCUACAGCUCUCAUGUCUCUUCACCAUGCCAGACUAGAGUCAAGCAGAUAGGAAGAGCG